CUUUGUUAUGUGGCUAAUAAAAAAUUUUAAAUUAUAUAUGAAAGUGAAAGCGUUCAUCUCCGAAUAUGGUACCCAUUAUAUUUCUACUGGACAGUGCUGUUUGAGGCAUUUGUAAGAGAUUAUUCUUUACUCUCUGGCACUGCAAACGGCCUUCAGUGCACACAGCUCUCAAGCUAGGAAGUAGGCGGUCAGAGGCUGUGUAUACUGGGCAGGGGCUGUGCCAGGGGGCACUGUUGCUAUAGAAACAGUUUAGGGUGUGGAUGGGUGAGGUGAGAUGGCUCAGGCUCCAGGCUCAGGCUUCAACUCCAGGGAGCAGAGACCCUGCAGCCACCUCUGCCUCGGAUUCCCUUGUCUUGCUUCCUGCAGUGUCUCUGGCAAGGUGGUGACUGGAUGGGGUGGGAGGAGGAUUCCACUUGUGGGGGCUUCUUGCCAGGAACUGAAGAAACGCCAAGAAGAGGAACGGCAAUGUGAGGAGAAAACCCAGCCACCUCAGGAGUCCCAGCAGGAGUCGCAGCCACCCCUGGCGCAAUCACAGUUGCCACCUAUGCCACAGCCGCCGCAGGUGCCCCAGCAGCCACCACAGCCGCCUCAGCUAAAGCAGCCAAAUGCCCAAGAAUGUCUUACUCAGUGCACCUCCAAGUACAUCCUCCAGGAUUCCCAGAGGCCAGGUCCCCACAAGGACACAUACCAAAGAGAGGUGACCAACCCUCAUGGUCCUGGUGGCAAGAAAUCUAGCCCAGAUAUGCAAACCAAGUACUCACGAUUCACGGUGAGACAGAUUCAAAGUGUGAAAGCCAGAUAGCUUCUGGCUGUGUGUCUGAGUGUGGUUGAGUGUAAGUGUGGGGGAGUCUAGAAAGGCUUCCUUGGCAGGAGUUGGGAGAGGGGAUUGAAGCUGUUCAGUCAUUUCUGGAUGGCCCAUUCCUCCAUUCCUUGGCCCAUAAGAAUGUCUUGGUAGGCCCCAUUGCUCAGCACUAAGUGAAGGAGCUGACAGUCUAGUUAGGAAGGCUGGACAGGUACAAAGAAGCAAAAUCUAGGGGCUGAUUAGGGUAGAGCCAGCUAGGCAGGAGGGAGGUAAGACCUGAAGUAAGA
rnacentral:lncRNA from 1 species